UGGGGAAUAUUGCGCAAUGGGCGAAAGCCUGACGCAGCGACGCCGCGUGAGGGAUGAAGGUUUUCGGAUCGUAAACCUCUGUCAGAAGGGAAGAAACCGCACUGUGCUAAUCAGCAGUGCCUUGACGGUACCUUCAAAGGAAGCACCGGCUAACUCCGUGCCAGCAGCCGCGGUAAUACGGAGGGUGCAAGCGUUAAUCGGAAUUACUGGGCGUAAAGCGCACGUAGGCUGCUUUGUAAGUCAGGGGUGAAAUCCCACGGCUCAACCGUGGAACUGCCUUUGAUACUGCUUAGCUUGAAUCCGGGAGAGGGUGGCGGAAUUCCAGGUGUAGGAGUGGAAUCCGUAGAUAUCUGGAGGAACAUCAGUGGCGAAGGCGGCCACCUGGACCGGUAUUGACGCUGAGGUGCGAAAGCGUGGGGAGCAAACAGG
rnacentral:rRNA from 1 species